rnacentral:tRNA from 1 species
GUGACAAUGGUGGAAUUGGCAGACACACUUGAUUUAAGCUCAAGUAGACUUGGUUCUGUGAGGGUUCAAGUCCCUCUUGUCACA